rnacentral:rRNA from 1 species
UCGAGCGAACAGAUAAGGAGCUUGCUCCUUUGACGUUAGCGGCGGACGGGUGAGUAACACGUGGGUAACCUACCUAUAAGACUGGGAUAACUUCGGGAAACCGGAGCUAAUACCGGAUAACAUUUGGAACCGCAUGGUUCUAAAGUGAAAGAUGGUUUUGCUAUCACUUAUAGAUGGACCCGCGCCGUAUUAGCUAGUUGGUAAGGUAACGGCUUACCAAGGCGACGAUACGUAGCCGACCUGAGAGGGUGAUCGGCCACACUGGAACUGAGACACGGUCCAGACUCCUACGGGAGGCAGCAGUAGGGAAUCUUCCGCAAUGGGCGAAAGCCUGACGGAGCAACGCCGCGUGAGUGAUGAAGGGUUUCGGCUCGUAAAACUCUGUUAUUAGGGAAGAACAAACGUGUAAGUAACUGUGCACGUCUUGACGGUACCUAAUCAGAAAGCCACGGCUAACUACGUGCCAGCAGCCGCGGUAAUACGUAGGUGGCAAGCGUUAUCCGGAAUUAUUGGGCGUAAAGCGCGCGUAGGCGGUUUCUUAAGUCUGAUGUGAAAGCCCACGGCUCAACCGUGGAGGGUCAUUGGAAACUGGGAAACUUGAGUGCAGAAGAGGAAAGUGGAAUUCCAUGUGUAGCGGUGAAAUGCGCAGAGAUAUGGAGGAACACCAGUGGCGAAGGCGACUUUCUGGUCUGUAACUGACGCUGAUGUGCGAAAGCGUGGGGAUCAAACAGGAUUAGAUACCCUGGUAGUCCACGCCGUAAACGAUGAGUGCUAAGUGUUAGGGGGUUUCCGCCCCUUAGUGCUGCAGCUAACGCAUUAAGCACUCCGCCUGGGGAGUACGACCGCAAGGUUGAAACUCAAAGGAAUUGACGGGGACCCGCACAAGCGGUGGAGCAUGUGGUUUAAUUCGAAGCAACGCGAAGAACCUUACCAAAUCUUGACAUCCUUUGAAAACUCUAGAGAUAGAGCCUUCCCCUUCGGGGGACAAAGUGACAGGUGGUGCAUGGUUGUCGUCAGCUCGUGUCGUGAGAUGUUGGGUUAAGUCCCGCAACGAGCGCAACCCUUAAGCUUAGUUGCCAUCAUUAAGUUGGGCACUCUAGGUUGACUGCCGGUGACAAACCGGAGGAAGGUGGGGAUGACGUCAAAUCAUCAUGCCCCUUAUGAUUUGGGCUACACACGUGCUACAAUGGACAAUACAAAGGGCAGCUAAACCGCGAGGUCAUGCAAAUCCCAUAAAGUUGUUCUCAGUUCGGAUUGUAGUCUGCAACUCGACUACAUGAAGCUGGAAUCGCUAGUAAUCGUAGAUCAGCAUGCUACGGUGAAUACGUUCCCGGGUCUUGUACACACCGCCCGUCACACCACGAGAGUUUGUAACACCCGAAGCCGGUGGAGUA